UCCUGUCGUCUCCAUCGCGCCUCUGUCCUAACCCUUCCUCCCUCCCUGUACGGUUCCUCCCAGGUGAGCAACGGAAAUGGAAGCCAAGCCAAAACCAUCCACCUAAAGCCUGAAUCAGUGUUUGCCUAACCCCAAAAUUACUCAUAAUCUGCUAGAAAUUCCACCAUUUGAACACCAGAGAGCGAUUCCAGAAUAUAUCCAUACCCUUGUAUCUAUAACCUCUGCGAUUUCCAGAUAUCAUAUAUGAAGGCUUUGGAACAAAGAUUCUAUAGUAUAAGUUAGAAAGAUACUAAAACGAAGUCAAGGUGCGCAUGCAGAAUAAUCUCAAAGGUGAAAACUCAAUUCGAAAGGGAGAUGAUCUUCCUAAAAAGAUAAGUAUUUUCAACUUAUUUGAAAAUCCUUAUAUGUUCUUUGUUCUUUGUUCAUUCGUGAAAAACUAUGUUCUUUGUUCAUUCGUGAUAUUCCCUCAUCUAGGUUUGGAUUCCGUUAUUUUAUUAGCCAUUUUGCACGAUUUAAUGGAUGCAUAGUAGGACACGGAUUGUGAACAGAAUGCCUAGAUAAGAACAUUACCUUUUUUUUAAUCCAUAAAACAAUUUAUCAAGCAUAAUCUCUAGCACAUCUUAUUAGAAAACCUCUAGCAUGAUCUAUGAAUCUCUAGCACAAAUUAGCAGAUUUAGCUUGUAUUAUACCUUUUCAUUCCUUAUGUUGAUUGACUGGUUUUUCACAUCUUAUGCUAAACUCCUGCUUUAGCAUUCUGCAUUGGUAAUAAUAUAAUGGUCUCAUGGAUUCCCUUUUCACAUCUUACAUACCAAAAUACAAUUUGGUAGGUUAAAUGUUUUUAUCUGUUUUUAUGUGUACAGUGCCACAUUUGGAGCAGUAGAAACAUUUUCUACCAAAAUAGUGUUCUUUGUUUAGUUUGGGGCCAAUGCUGAAGCUCUGAUUUGGUUUCAGUACAUUAUUUUGUAUUUACAUGUUAGAGGUUAUUUUUUCCUGUGUAUUAAAAAGUAGUACAACUAUAUUUUGUAGUAGAAGUGUAUUUAGAUUCUCAUUUCAAUGUAAAUCAGUGUAAUAUGAGAUUUACAGUAAAUUAAGAUGCUGUAUUUGGUAGAUUAGCUACUGUUGUGUAAUUGUUUCAAUGAAAUGAAAUGAAAUGAGAAUCUGUUUGAAAACAAUGGUGUUUUAUAUUGACUUUUGAAAAAAGUUUGUCUUUAUUAAUACUUAAAAAAAAAACACAAAUAUAUAAGUCUUGCUCUCAAAUCGGUAAAAUGUUGCAAAAAGCAAAAAAAAACUUCAAUUUUUUUUAACAUAUUAUGACUCGAAAUUAAAUUUUGUUCUGAUUUAGCAUAAAAAAGGAACAGCUAAAGAACAAAGUCGUUUGUUCAUGAUUUUUUUUUUUACUAAUGACAGCUUAAUGGUGUUUUUUUACUAAACAAUGGUGUUUUAUUUGUUGUAAAAAUAUUAACAUGUUAGCCAAGCAGCUUAGUGUUUAUAAUUUCACUAAGUUUUAGAUUGUUGUAAUUGAAUGUGGGUGAUUGUAAUAAGUUAUAGUUGAUGUUGUGUUAUGAAAUCUGACUUACCAUUGCAAAGGAAAGAUUCAUUUUUUUUUGAAAAUGGUUAAAGUGAAUUUUAAACUUAAAUUUUGUUUACUUGACUGUAAAUCUAUUUUUGUUUUUAAUAUUUUCACUUACUUUAUUUGUGUUACUUAAUGGUAUUUAUAUUUUUAAAAUAUUAACUUGUAAGCCAAAGGGCUUAGUGUUUAUAAUUUCACUAAGUUUUAGAUUGUAAUUUACUCUUCAUGUUUUGUAAUAAGUUAUAGUUGAUGUUGUGUUACAAAAUUUGACUUACCAUUGCAAAGGAGUGUUUGUAUCUAUUUUUUUUAAAUGGUUAAAGUGAUUUUUAGACUUCAAUUUUUUUUCCCAGAAUCCAAAUCUUAUUUGUUUUUAAUUAUUUAAUUUUCUUUCUUACUUUGUUUGUGUUACUUACUACUAUUGCAAAUUGAUAUAGUUAUGAAUUUGAACUGCAAAUUGUUGUUAAAAAUAGUACUGAUAAAAAUAUAAUGACACAACUUAAAACAUGUUUGCUAGGAUGCAUCUGAGAUUAGUUUUCAAAUAUAUCAUUAAAAUGUUCCUUAAGUAUAAAAUAGCAGUGCAUUAAAUAUAGUUACAUGUACAGAUAUCUCUAUGUUCACUAUCCUAAACUAAUUUGUUACAAACUAUUGCUGAAUUGUAUACAUUCUUGCCCAUCUUGCAAAAUCACUUUAUCCUCCUAAUGUCUUGUUGGUUGCUUUCCAUUGCAUUGCAUCCUUAUAAGCUUCCUGCACACAGAAGAUAUAGCAAGUACAAAUAGGAAAAGGAUUUCAUUACAUAAGAUAGCAAGUAGAUAUGGAUACUGGUAAAACUUUCACCAAUGUAAUGGUGAAAUUAGUCUAAAAAAUUGUCACCACCAAUUGUCUAAUAGCACUCACACAGUGCUAUUCAAUCAAAAACAUAAAAACACUUGCCCAAAAACAACAAUUCAACAAUAACAGUUCAACAAUAAUUGUUUACCUGAUUAAAAUCAUCAUCGAUCACCUAAGCUGCUCCAUGUGGUCUUGGUAUAUGAGAAUGUAUCACAGUGCCAUACAGACAAAAAAUGUUAAAAAUUUUCUAGAAUACUAUUUUUUAAACUAAAAGAGUUAAAAGAAGAUACAAAGCUUACCAAAUGUGCAGGUGUUCUCAAUCCUUAGCCUCAACACAACAUAAUCUUUAAGCUAUUGUCUACUUCAUCAUGAAUGUUUUCCCAACAUGGCCUAUGCAGCUUAACCAUUUUCCUCCAUUGUGCAGUUAGUCACAUAUGGAAAUCCAAGCUCAAAAUCAUCAAAAAAUAAAAAGACAAAGUCAAUGCAUUAUAAGAAGUUUAAAGCUACAACAACAGCCGAACUCGGAUAGCUCUCCUUGUAUGCACAGGGCUAAUAUGACUUGCAAGGGUUGAAGAAGGUGUUUUAUAGAAGGAUUUGGUGGCUGAAGAGUUCCCAAAGACUCAACCAUUAAUUGCAUCGGAUACUGAAACGCCAAUUCUGAGUAUACCGACGGCUUGCAGUAUUUAUAUUUUAUAUUUAUGUAAUAUUUAAUUUAAUAUGUAAAAUUAAAUUUAGAUCAUUUACAUCUGUUGGGUUUGCCGUGUAUUCAUUUAGAGUUUGAAUUUGUAACAACUUCCAAUAACUUAGGGAAUCCCAAAAGAUUAUUAUGAAUCAAUUUUGUAUUUAAUUCUAACGUAAA